AUGACCUCGCACUUGCCAGACAGGAGCUGUGCUGCUGAGCUAAAUCCCCAGCCCCUCUGUAAGCAGAUUAUGAAUCCUGCACAGAGAUGGUAAAGGAGCAUUUGUAUACUUCAUGCAGUCGGACAUCUGCCUGGGUUCUGCCUGAACUGAUCCAAACGUGGCUUAGGAUAGAACAGAACAGAUUCUCUCCUUUUUGAGAGGGGAAAAGUCCACUAUCCCCAGGAGAGUACCAGCAGUAAGUCGUGAAUAUUCCAUUCCCUCGCUCCUGCUCUUCGGGAUGGCACCAGAACAGGCAG